rnacentral:rRNA from 1 species
ACAGAGGAGGCGAGCGUUGCUCGGAAUUACUGGGCUUAAAGCGCGUGUAGGCGGCCAUGUAAGUGUCCCGUGAAAUCCCACGACUCAAUCGCGGAACUGCGGGGCAUACUGCAUGGCUUGAGGUCGGCAGAGGUGCCUGGAACUCUAGGUGGAGCGGUGAAAUGCGUAGAUAUCUAGAGGAAUGCCAGAGGCGAAGGCGGGGCACUGGGCCGAAUCUGACGCUGAGACGCGAAAGCGUGGGGAUCAAACAG